rnacentral:rRNA from 1 species
AGUGAACGCUGGCGGUAGGCCUAACACAUGCAAGUCGAACGGCAGCACAGUAAGAGCUUGCUCUUACGGGUGGCGAGUGGCGGAUGGGUGAGGAAUACAUCGGAAUCUACUUUUUCGUGGGGGAUAACGUAGGGAAACUUACGCUAAUACCGCAUACGACCUACGGGUGAAAGCAGGGGAUCUUCGGACCUUGCGCGAUUGAAUGAGCCGAUGUCGGAUUAGCUAGUUGGCGGGGUAAAGGCCCACCAAGGCGACGAUCCGUAGCUGGUCUGAGAGGAUGAUCAGCCACACUGGAACGUAGACACGGUCCAGACUCCUACGGGAGGCAGCAGUGGGGAAUAUUGGACAAUGGGCGCAAGCCUGAUCCAGCCAUACCGCGUGGGUGAAGAAGGCCUUCGGGUUGUAAAGCCCUUUUGUUGGGAAAGAAAAGCAGCAGGUUAAUACCCCGCUGUUCUGACGGUACCCAAAGAAUAAGCACCGGCUAACUUCGUG